GGCGAACGCUGGCGGCGUGCUUAACACAUGCAAGUCGAACGGUGAAGCGCCUUCCUUUUUGGUGGGUGUGGAUGAGUGGCGAACGGGUGAGUAACACGUGAGUAACCUGCCCCCUUCUUCUGGAUAACCGCAUGAAAGUGUGGCUAAUACGGGAUAUUCUGGGUCUGUCGCAUGAUGGGUCUGGGAAAGAUAUUGUUUCGGUGGGGGAUGGGCUCGCGGCCUAUCAGCUUGUUGGUGGGGUGAUGGCCUACCAAGGCGGUGACGGGUAGCCGGCCUGAGAGGGUGGACGGUCACACUGGGACUGAGACACGGCCAAGACUCCUACGGGAGGCAGCAGUGGGGAAUAUUGCACAAUGGGCGCAAGACUGAUGCAGCGACGCCGCGUGAGGGAUGGAGGCCUUCGGGUUGUGAACCUCUUUCGCCAGUGAAGCAGGCCUGCCUCGUUUGUGGGUGGGUUGACGGUAGCUGGAGAAGAAGCGCCGGCUAACUACGUG
rnacentral:rRNA from 1 species